CGAAGGGGUUUUAUGGAAUCGCCGGUGAGCGGAGGGGGGAAGAGAUCUGCACAGAGCAGCCACAUCUCCGCCGUCGAGGGGGUGAAUUAGUGGCAAGUAAAGCAUCCUGCACAAUUAGGCGGAGAUGUUCAAAACGUUUGAAAUCGAUUUACUGAAGAACGGGUUGAAGGUGGAGUAGAGCGUGGUGCACAUUUUCGGAUACGAAAGAGGCGUUUUUGCUCACGAGCUUGAAAUCGAUGAAUGGGUUGAAGCUGGAAACUACAAGCAACCAGAUCCUGCGCAUUCCCUCCUGGAGUAAGAGUUCUAAUCCAAAUUAGUUACAUUUUUUGAGAUUUGAUUAACAACCGACUAUGGAAGUAGAGCUUCUCCUUCGGGACAUCCGAUAAAAGUGGAACGAUACAGAGAAGAUUAGCAUGGCCUAAGAGGCGCUCGUUGUAUGCAUUUGUCAAACUGAAAAGGAUGCUCAUCACCUGUUUGAUGAAAUGCAUUUUAAUGGAGGGAAGGAUUCACUUGGGGUCUUGAAUGCUGCAGAGGCAAUCAGCUUUGAAAGUAAAUCCCUUUCUGCAG